rnacentral:misc_RNA from 1 species
AUAAUUUUAGCUUACUCUCUAGAACUAUGUUCUUAUCUUUCUGCUUAUUUUAGCUUACAAUUAGACUCUUUUUGGUUUUUCUGUAACUACAAUUUGGAGUAUGUUGAAUUUUAACUGGCUCAGUCUUGAAGAAAUAUAUUUAUUUUUCCAAUUGCACUACCUGUUUCAGAGGAAAUAAAAUUUUGAGUUUAGGGUUCCUAGGA